UGGGAGAGUCCAGGGUGUGGAGGGACAAAUCCAGUGGCAGCUGCCUCUGCUCCAGGUUGCCGCCAGCAGUUACCCAGUUCCGGGAGCUUCGUUGUAGCACUGGAAAACUAACAGGGAAGCAAAAGCGAACACAAAUGAGAAGAGUUAGAAAUGCCAGUUCGUUGUUCUUCUGGUUUCCAAGAUGAUUGGAACAAGGCGUGGCUCACCUUUGCCCUGUAUAGGAACGAGAAGAGAUCACAUAUACAACAUGCAGUGUACUAAUUGGGAGUCAAAGCCAGCAAAUCCAUAUGGCAAUUUGGAGGCUCCAGUGGAUUCUUCAGAGGGCCAGGAUAUUCUAGCUCCCCAAAUCUUUCCUGUACACCAAGCAGCUGGAAGGCUCCACCCAGCAGCCAAUGAAUAGAGAUGCAGAGAC